UACGUAGGUGGCUAGCGUUAUCCGGAAUUACUGGGCGUAAAGGGUGCGUAGGUGGUUUCUUAAGUCAGAGGUGAAAGGCUACGGCUCAACCGUAGUAAGCCUUUGAAACUGGGGAACUUGAGUGCAGGAGAGGAGAGUGGAAUUCCUAGUGUAGCGGUGAAAUGCGUAGAUAUUAGGAGGAACACCAGUUGCGAAGGCGGCUCUCUGGACUGUAACUGACACUGAGGCACGAAAGCGUGGGGAGCAAACAGG
rnacentral:rRNA from 1 species